rnacentral:lncRNA from 1 species
AUUAUUUUGAGAGAUAGGUAGCACGCUACCCGUUUCGUUUAUUUUAUUUACAAAUAAAUUUAGCUGGAAAUGUGAAUCAACUAGGAUUCGAAUUUGGGUCUCGGGUACCAACCACCAAACCCUUUGCCACUUGCUGUAGGGACGGUCGGUAGAAUUAUAUUAUUAGUGUAGAAACUUUGUAAGGUUAAAACCAAAAGUGGUUCCUCAUGUAGUUAGAAUUGGAAUUAUUAAGACCCAGUUUGGUUUGGAAAAAAAGCGCAAAAUUAAAGUUAUUCCCGCUAUUCCGUAGAACGGAACAUUGUUUGGCCGGAAUAUAAUAUCGCUAUCGAACCUCGCUAUUCCCGAUUAUUCCAGAAUUGGUUGGGAUUCAUUAUUCCGCUCUUUUGAUGAAAUAGUAUUAUUCUAAGAUUUAAUUAAUUUUAAGUUUUAUUAAUUUUAUAAAUUAAAUUAAAGUAAUAGACAUGAUAUAUUAUAUAUUAUAAUAAAUUGUUUUUAUUAUUAUAAAAUUAUUAAUUGUACUAUAUCAAUAUGUAUUAUUUGUGCUUAAAUAUUAUAAUAAAUUAUACUUAAAUAUUAUAAAUAAAUUAUUUUUAAAAUUAUUUUUGUCAUAAAUUAUUUUUAUUAAGUCAUAUUUUAUAUUAAAUGCAACCAUCACUA